CAACAAAACGGUCAGGCUCAAUGCUGAGAAGACUAAUCAAUUCCCAUCUAAAAUUUUCCUCAUUCAAUCCUCUCCUACUCGAGGCUUCUGUAUUAAAAAUCCCUUCUAUUCUUAUCUUUCUUUCUUUCUCUCUGAAAACCGCUAGCUUCUCCAUUCCUGUUCCAUGUAUACUUUUUUCUUUUGAUUAAAUUUUCUUUUACUCUCUUGAUUAAAUUUUCAACUGUAAAUUUCUACUACCUUUACCCCUAUUUCAUUGGUGUUUGAGAAAUAAAGCAUGGAGAAUUUUUUCCUCUUAUUCACUUGCAU
rnacentral:lncRNA from 1 species